CCUCAUGGCUCAUUCCCAAAGUCAGAGAGAGAAAGAGUUUGGGGGCUCCCCUCAUCAGUAUCGCAAAAAAAAUUAUAGGCUUAGACCAUCUCCAAAUCAAGAGACAAAGAUUUUAUGCUGUUGGCAGCAGACUAAGUUCUAAAAGGGAGUUUAGCCAUUAACAAAGGGGAAGAUGCCAUAACCGGAGAGAAGAUGCCUAAGGAAGGCUAAGUUCCUAAUGAACCAGGCACUGUAAUACUUAGUAAAUGAACUAAAUUCUUAAAAGGAGUUAGCAAAAAAGAGGGCUAUUAGCGAAAAAUAACCCCAAGGGCUUCUGUUAGGAUAUAGUCAUUCUGGAGUCUUGACAACUUUGCAAUGCAAAGAUUUUUACAAGGGCCUAUUGCAACAAAGGACCACUUAAGGACAAGAUAAUGCUCCUCCCUGCUUGCCUCAGGGAGUAGUUGUGGGAGUUUAACUGGGGCCUACUGCAAUAAAGGCCAAUUUAAAUUCCACAAAAGUCUUCUGUCAAAGCCCCUCCAUCUGGUCCACUUAGCUACUAAAGAUCUGGGAUCUUAUUGAUCCUAUCAACAUGAUUGAUUCGGUCAUUCAUUUUCCACAUUGGUGGUGAGGUUAGAGAUCAAGAGUCUUAAUUAGGAAGCUAUUAUAAUGUAAUAUGGACUAUAUAUGAUUAUGUAAUAUGGACCUGAAUUUAGUAGGUAAGAGCCUUGUGAAUUGCGAAAAAAGACCCAAACUCAGGAUAUUGUGAAUGUAGAAUUGAUAGGGUUUGGAUAUGAUUUGGAAGGAGACUAAGAACAACAAAUAAUCAAAGAUUGAUUCCAAAGUUUUGAACCAUUCUGUGCAUUAGGCAGCCAGACUGAGACUGGAGGUCAGAGGAAUGAUAGGGCUGGAGAAAUAGAUUUGAAUCACUUUCUUAAGAUUAUAUCACUCACUUCUGUGCUUCAAUUUUAUUUUUUUCAAGUUUUUUUUGGUAAAAUUCAGGGAUGGACUUCCCAAGAUCCCUUCCAGAUUUAACUUUAUAAAUCUCUGACAAUGAGGGAACAACUACAACCAAAGGGUUGGAUUGGUAUCUAUAAAUUAUUAAAAAGAACCAGAAUAAAGCCUCUAAUAUUUGCUGGACUUUUUGUCAGAUUUAUGGGGAGACAUUGACAACAAGGGCAGAUAAUAAAAAGGCCUUCGAGUAGGAUGAUGGAAUACUAUUGUCAUAAGAAAUGAUAAAAGGAACAAAUUCAUAGAAAUAUGGGAUGACUUGUAUGAAUUUGAUGUAAUAGGAACUGUGUCGCCCUGAUCUUUUUUUGGGGGGGAAGACUGGGUUGGAAAGGCCCUCUUAACUUUUAGGAGCAGCUCUACCUUCCUGUUCCUAGGGGAAACUCCCAUGGUGAUCCCCACCUACAAUUCAAUUAGAGAUCUUGGCCUGCAGCAUAAUUACCACCAUUAUUGAUUAGUCCCUCAAAUUCAUCUGGAACCCCAGCCCAUAGAAACCUAAAUAUAAUCAAAGGCUGCACCCCAAACCUUUGCUAAUUUCCAAUCAGGAUUUGGCCCACUGUUUCUCAGUGUAAACCCAUCUUUGCCAAAAACCUACCUUUGCUAAUUCCUUUCUGUAUUUGGCCCUCUGGGAAGUUUUUGCCCAGUGUAAUAAAUCCUUUUUUUUUUUUUUUUUGCCAAAAACCUGCCUGCAGAUUGGGAUUGUGGAUUCUUACACAAAAGCCUGGGAUACCUGCCUGGGGACUCCAUAGUUGUUAGGAUAUUUCUCACCCCUCAACAAAUUGAUACAGAAUGAAUUAAGCAGAAAUCAGGAAAACAAUUUACAUAAUGACUAUACAUUGUAAAGAAAAACAACUUUGAAAGACUUUAGAAUUCUGAUCACUACAAUGACCAAUAAUAAUUCUACAAAAUAAAGAUGAAACAUGCUUUUUAACUCUUGAACAGAAGGUAGUAGAUUACAGAUCUAGAAUAUUAUUUUUUAAGGACACGGCCAAUAUGAAGAUUUGAAAUACUCAGAAUUUUUAUUUUUUUAUAAUAGCUUUUUAUUUUUUCAAAUACAUGCAAAAAUAGCUUUCAUCAUUCACUUUUGCAAAACCUUGUGUUCUAAAUUUUUCUCUCUCCCUUCCUCCUACUCCUUUCCCUAGACAGCAAGAAUCUAUUAUUGGUUAAACAUGUGCAAUUCUAAACAUAUUUCUAUAUUUGUCAUGUUGCACAGGGAAAAAAUCACAUCAAAAGGGGGAAAAAAACAUGAGAAAGAAAAACAAAAAAACAAGUAAACAAACACCAUCACCAUCAAAAGACCACAUUUGAUCUCAGUUUACAUCAGUAUUAUUAGAAAUACUUUUUUCUUUGUUGGCGGUAUAUAGUGGAUAGCAUAUUGAAUUUGGAGUCAGGAAGCCUGGAGUUUAAGCCCUGUCUCAGCAGCUACUUAGCGCUAUGAUAUUGGAAGAACUAUGCCUCGGUUUCCUCAUCUGAAAAAUGUAAAUAAUAGCACCUACCUCAUUCAAUGAUUGUGAAGUUCUGAUGAGCUAACAUAUAAAGUGCAAAGCAUUCUAUUAAUGUAAGUUAUCAUUUUCAUCAUCAGUCUAAAAUCCACCAAUUUUGUGGUCAGACUGUCCUCAUCAGAGGCUUAUAUAACAACAGUAUUAUACCAAACAUAUACCACUGAUAUGCCUAGAGAGUAAAGAAGUCCCAUUUACUUUGCAGGAUUCACAGCCCUGAAUUCUCAACAUAUACAAUAUGAUGUGCAUUUCUGGAUUUAAGGAGAGAACACAGCUCUGGCUCACGGACAACUUAAAUAGUUAUAAUUUAACAAUUUCAGAACAAAGGAUAGAGCAAGAUUAUCUGCCAGUCUGCAACAUAGUCCCUUUUGUGUUGAUAGGGAACAUGCUGCACAGUGAGUUUUUCCAGGACUGCUGAAUGACUUGAAUGCUCCAAACAGUGAGGAUUAUACUAUUUUAUAUCUAGGAAUAAACAAAGGAUGAUUAAACCUUUAAAAAUGUACCCUUUGGGGUGAGUAUAUUUUGGACUUUGAAUAUAUCAAUCAUAACACCUCUGGCACUUUCUGUUGAUGAUUGUUGUUCUAAUAAAAGACAAAAUACAUCAUUAAAUAGACUAUGGCUUUGAAAACCAAAUUAUCAAUAUUGGGUACAGGUUUACUAAAUUACUGUUAGCAGUCACAUCUAUAACCUAUGGAUACUAAAUAACUUCCAUCACAUUGGAUAAUCCAUGCAUAAAAACAUCAUGUUAUAUUAACUUAUUAAUAUAGAUUCAUAUUAAUUUAAUUAUGAAGUUUUCUAUCAUUACUUAAAAAUUAUUUUCAUAGAUAAAAUAUUGAAUUUAAGUUUGGCUUUAGAACUCACUGACAUGGAAUGUGGCAAAUCAAUAAUUUCUUAACACCUGUAGGAAAACUGAGGCAAAAAUUCCUAAAUGUUAUUGAUGCAUCUAGGAGUGUUAUAAUGCAUAACAGAUUGGUCUUGAAGCUAGGAAGACUUGGGUUAAAAUCUCACUUCUGGCACAGUGGAUUGUGUAAUUCUGGGCAAAGCACUUAAGCUCUCAAGGUUCCAGAUAACUCUUUAAGACUAUGGAGAAAAGGUUAGUCUAUAUUGCUAGAAGGAGUUUCCUUACCUGGAAGUUCCUUAUGCCAAUAAAAAUCACAGGUCACGUCCCUUUUCCUAUCUGAAGACUUUAGUUUUUGUUGUAUUAUUUUUUAAUGAGCCAAAACAAAACAACUUCACUUAAGCUAAUUGGAAAACAACUUUUUUAAAUGUCUGAAAAUAGUCAUCCUUAUUAGGGGAUAAAACAGUCAAAAGAUAUUAACUAAUGCCCAACAUUAGCCUGGGAGUAAGAAAUAAACAGCAACACAACUGAUUAUUUUGCCAGCCUCAAGAAUCACUAUUUCCGUGACUUCCUUUCUCCUUGGCUGAAUAAAGAAAACUUUCAGGUUACAUGUUAAAUGUAACCUCCCUGUUCUGGAAUGCCAAGCCAGUUCCUCUCAAUUUUAGCCACUAUCUCAACUCUUACACAUCAGUAAUGGCCACUCAGUAAUGCAGGUGAACCAUCUCAUCUGAUCUCAAAUGUUAUAACCUUUCAUCUUGAGUGAUGGAAGAUUUGACAACCACUCCAUAAGUAACUUCCAGAAACUGUUUGAUCCUCUCAAAAGCAGCUGAAUUCCCUUAAUUUCUGCUUUAGGCCAACAUUAUUCUUUCCCAGCCAGUUCUCAGCAAAGAAAUACAAACAGGGGCUCAAAGGUGGGGCCACAGAAGUGAUCUUUAUCUCUGAGCCUUGUUUUUUCCCCUCCAAGCUAAUUCCUAUUGUUUAAACCUGAAACUAAUUUUAAAGGUUCUCCACCUCCAGCGCAUAGCUCACAAACAGAAUUUAUGUAAGAUCACAAGACUAUUGCCUGAAAGUUAUUAGACUUGGGGCUUUUGCAAUGAAGGGUUCUUGGGGGAAGAGGUAGUAAUCAGAUCUUCCAGUGCAAUGGGGAAAACCAAUCAUGGGGAAAAAAAAACAUUAAAGUUUCCCAAAGUCCCAGUGGAGAAAAAGCUGGAUUGAAUUUAGGGCAUCAACUGUGGCAAUGUCCAGGUAAGAGUAAAAAAUUUUCCUUUAUUUUUAUUCUUGGUGCUAAAUACACGUUACCUACCAAAUAGCAAACCGAGUCUCUCAGCAGCAGGAGCCAGCUUCAUUCUUGAGAAAUUAUUUUCCUUUGUCACAAUUCUGGCAUAAAUUAUAUUCACAUUGGUGAACACUCAACAAAGCUUCACUCAUUCAGUGUGACACACAAAAUUUAUGACAUCUGUCUCAGGAAUGUAGCUCUGAAAAGCCUCAGUGUCAAAAAAUAUGCAGAAUGGAAGGAAUGCUCCACACAUUUCUAAUUUCUUUCAAAACUCAAGUCUCUAAUUUUGGAAGCAAUAGCACGAAGCUUGUUUAACUCACUUAAUACUUUAGCCCUUUUUGUUUUCGUUGGGACAUUCCAAAGUCUCUCCCAGACAGCUGCAACCACUUCCUGUAGCUUGGGGGAAAACUCAGUAACCCAGGGAGAUCUCAGGAGCCAUUCGAAGGGUGAAGAAGACUUUUGGAAAGUUAAGAUCUGAGCAGCAGUGAUUACAAAAGGCAUGGAAGAUCCAGGGCAUUUCUGGCAAUCGUGGAUAACCACGUCCUGUGCAGUUCCUGGGUUCAAAUCCCAUUUCAGCUGGUGGUCCAGAGAAUCAUGGGCAUCUCUGAAACCUUUUGAAAAUCUAUAUUCAGAAUUAGUUUAUUUUUCUAAUAUGAUAAAUACCUAUAAUAAAACCCAUAUAGACAAAAAACUCUUUGGAUAGAUCCUCAAUAUUUCUUAAUAGAAUUACGACACAGAACCACUGCUAUUGUAUAGAGCUUCUUUUCCCACUCAUGACCCCUUUUCAUUUGAGAAAUUUUGGUGACCCUAGAUAUGUAGGUACACAAAUCAAACAUUUAAUGAUAAUAAAUCAUAAUUUCAUGAUCCUAACCUUCAGUUAUGAGACUCCAGGAGAUUGUGAACCAUAGUUUAAAAAACUGGGCUAUAGUGGAUAGUGUUGGACUUGAAGGCAGAGAUCUCACUUCAAGUAUGUGGCUACUACAUCUAUUCUGUCCCUCAGUUCCAUCUGUAAAAUGGGGAAAACAAUAACUUCCAGGUGUGUUAGAAAGAUCAAAGAGCAUAAAGGAUGUAAAAUGCUUUGCAAAUCCUAAAGCAUUUUAUAAAUGCUGCUAAAGAGUGCCAGGUUUAGGAGUAAAGAGUUCUCAAGUUCAAAUCUAGUUUCACACUCAGUAGCUGUAUGAGCCUGGGCAAGUCACUUAACUUCAUUUUCCUCAUUUGUCAAAUGGACCAAAAAAGGAAACGGCAAACCACUUCAAGCAUGGUCACAAAUGGUAACACACAACUGAAAAUCAACUAAUAUUACUCCCUAUGUGACUUUGGGCAAGUCCCUUGAGAAAGUGAAGCUCAGCUUUUUCAUUUGUAGAAUCUGAGAGUUGCACAAGAUGACAUGACCUCUUCCAGUUCCAUAUCUACAAUCAUAUGGAAUACUGUGACUAAUUUUAAGUUUAAUUCCUCUUUAGUUGUAUCUGAAAUGCCUCUUAAUUUAGAUUUUUCUUGGUCUGUAGAAAGAGAAUAUUUUAUACUCAUAUCUUGAAUGAUUCUAAAUUUAGGAACUAGAAGACUCAUGAAAUUAUAUUCAUCUUGUUCCCUCUCUACCAUCUAGCUUUGGGUGGCAAGUACUUAUUUACCUUGUUUGUAGAUGAGUCAACUGAGGCCCAGAAAAGAUCAUCGAUUUAGAGCUGGAAAUGUCCACAAAAAGGACAUUCUAGUUCAAUCUCUUCCUUUUACAAAUAAAGAAGUUAAGGCCCAGGGAGGUUAAAAGUUUCAGCUCCAAGAAGAAAGGAGAGCUAUUAAAGUGAAACUCAAAUUAGAUUUGGAAAGCAAAAAGAAAUUUGAUGCAUUUCCUAAAUUAUAAAGUGUCUAUUAUAGGACUAAAGACAUUAAUGUUUGUUGUCUGUAGGUAGGGGAAGAAAACAAUUAGAAAAUCCUGGAAAUUUAUGUUAAAGGCUGUCAUUUAUCUACGUUCUAAUAUGUCAUUUAUGAUUAAGUGGCAUCUCUGCCAACAGAAUCAUAAACUGCAUAUUACUUUUUAAAAGUCAUUUUCCCUUUUUCGUUUUUCAAUAAAUUACAUUUAUGCUCCCUUGAUAAAUUUCAAUCUAGUUUUCAGUUGGACUUUUCUCUGGUACCUUGUUUGAGAGAAAAAAUGCAAUAAUGGGUACAGAAAAAUUUAACACAAUCCAGAUUCACAAAAUGGAAAACAAAUGACAAGACCACCAAAUUUAGAAAAUGUCCUAAAAUGUGCAUUUUUAUUCCAUAUCAUUAUACAAUGUUUACAUAGUUAUAACUUUUAAAAACUGCUCGAGUGUGUAAAAUAAAGUGAGGCAAAUACGGAUUUUUAAUCCCCCCUCCCCCAAUAUGGAUAAGAAACAUCUUUCUCUAUGAAUUUUAUGUAGUGCCUAAAUUAAUCUUUCAUUUUAACAUGAAAAACUGAAGAUAAAAAGAGUGGAAAUUCAUUUUGAAAUGCUGCCCUACAAUUUGUAAUGAGCUGCUAGUGUACAAGUUAGAAAAAAGACUGAAGUCGUAAAACAGUUGUGUGGCUUACAAAUCUUUUGUUGAUGUUUUCAAUCGAAUUCAGGCAUAGAAAGUCCAAAUCCUCAUCUCUUAAUAAAACUCAGACAAAUAAAUUACUGCACUGGACAGAAUUCUAAAUUGUAUAAUGUCAAACAAAAGACCACAGAAGUACCUUUUGCUCAAAGUAGCACCAGUCCACACCUGAUUGUGUUUCCAACAUUAAUCUUGUUAAAUACAGAGUUGGCACUUGGAAGUGGAAAUCAUUCUGCUUUAGUGAGCAUUCCUGGACUGCACAUACUGUGUUGCUAUACUCUCUACAAAGUGUAGGCAACAUUAUACUGGGAAAUGGCACAUUUAAACCAUCAUCACGCUGACCUGUCUAAGGCUUGCCCUUUUUUGGUAUUCCCCUAAUGCCUGGCCGGUAUUUUGCAGAUGUUCCUGUGACAGUGGUAAAACAAAACAAAACAAAACAAAUGAAAGGGGUUUCAUGGCAAGCAGGUGUUUAUAAAAAAUAAAAAACACAAAAAAGGUAAGAAUGUGGU